rnacentral:rRNA from 1 species
AUUGAACGCUGGCGGCAUGCUUUACACAUGCAAGUCGAACGGCAGCACGGACUUCGGUCUGGUGGCGAGUGGCGAACGGGUGAGUAAUACAUCGGAACGUACCCAGUAAUGGGGGAUAACUAUCCGAAAGGAUGGCUAAUACCGUAUACGCACUACGGGGGAAAGAGGGGGAUCGCAAGACCUCUUGUUAUUGGAGCGGCCGAUGGCUGAUUAGCUAGUUGGUGAGGUAAAGGCUCACCAAGGCGACGAUCAGUAGCGGGUCUUAGAGGGCGAUCCGCCACACUGGAACUGAGACACGGUCCAGACUCCUACGGGAGGCAGCAGUGGGGAAUCUUGGACAAUGGGCGCGAGCCUGAUCCAGCAAUGCCGCGUGCGUGAAGAAGGCCUUCGGGUUGUAAAGCGCUUUUGUCAGGGAGCAAAUCCUUGUGGCUAAUACCCACCGGGGAUGAGAGUACCUGAAGAAUAAGGACCGGCUAACUACGUGCCAGCAGCCGCGGUAACAC